GGGCCCGCACAAGUAGUGGAGCAUGUGGUUUAAUUCGAAGAUACGCGCAGAACCUUACCAACACUUGACAUGUUCGUCGCGACUUUAAGAGAUUGAAGUUUUCGGUUCGGCCGGACGAAACACAGGUGCUGCAUGGCUGUCGUCAGCUCGUGCCGUGAGGUGUCAGGUUAAGUCCUAUAACGAGCGCAACCCCUAUCGUUAGUUGCCAGCGGGUAAUGCCGGGAACUCUAGCGAAACUGCCGGUGCAAACCGAGAGGAAGGUGGGGAUGACGUCAAAUCAUCACGGCCCUUACGUCCUGGGCUACACACGUGCUACAAUGGCCGGUACAGAGAGCAGCCACUACGCGAGUAGGAGCGAAUCUAUAAAACCGGUCUCAGUUCGGAUCGCAGUCUGCAACUCGACUGCGUGAAGCUGGAAUC
rnacentral:rRNA from 1 species